CGAUGAUCUUCAUGUCCCAUUCGUGUGCUCCGGUAUCCCUGAUCGAACUUGUGUGUACCGACCUUCGUCCGUUCUCCGACCAACCUUCAGAUAAUAAACGUGUCUCUUCUUGAACUACCUUGCGUCUUCCGAGUUCCUGCAUUUGGGUCCUACUCUUGUUCCGAUGGGACGUGACAACGAGUCAACAGUUUGCGACAGAAAAGCUGUCGUGUGGAAGUCCUCGGAGAUGUGUGAGGAGCAGGAACACUCGGUCAUGUUCAUCUUGCAACUCUAAAGGCGUGAAUGCUGCCUCGUUCUGCUGGCCCUGAAGGCCCAUCUCCAAUGACAAAAGGAAUGUUUUGACAUUAGCUUCCAUGUAGAGGCCCUGUGAUGUCUACACGUGGAGAAGG